UGGGGAAUUUUGCACAAUGGGGGAAACCCUGAUGCAGCGACGCCGCGUGAUUUAGAAGGCCUUCGGGUUGUAAAAAUCUUUUCUAUGGGAAGAAAAUGACAGUACCAUAGGAAUAAGGACCGGCUAAUUACGUGCCAGCAGCCGCGGUAAUACGUAAGGUCCGAGCGUUGUCCGGAAUCAUGGGGCGUAAAGGGUACGUAGGCGGGUAAGCAAGUUAGAAGUGAAAUCCUAUAGCUCAACUAUAGUAAGCUUUUAAAACUGCUCACCUUGAGGUAUGGAGUGGAAAGUGGAAUUCCUAGUGUAGCGGUGAAAUACUGAGAUAUUAGGAGGAAUACCGGUGGCGAAGGCGACUUUCUGGCCAUAACCUGACGCUGAGGUACGAAAGCGUGGGUAGCAAACAGG
rnacentral:rRNA from 1 species